CCAGACAGCCAGGAUGUUGGCUUAGAAGCAGCCAUCAUUUAAAGAAAGCGUAAUAGCUCACUGGUCGAGUCGGCCUGCGCGGAAGAUGUAACGGGGCUAAACCAUGCACCGAAGCUGCGGCAGCGACACUCAGGUGUUGUUGGGUAGGGGAGCGUUCUGUAAGCCUGUGAAGGUGGCCUGUGAGGGUUGCUGGAGGUAUCAGAAGUGCGAAUGCUGACAUAAGUAACGAUAAAGCGGGUGAAAAGCCCGCUCGCCGGAAGAC
rnacentral:rRNA from 1 species